rnacentral:rRNA from 1 species
GAUUAACGCUGGCGGCGUGCAUAACACAUGCAAGUCGAACGAUAAAACUUAGUAUACUUCUUCUGAAAGACACUCAACGGGGUAGUGGCGAACGGGUGAGUAACGCGUGAGUAACCUGCCUUACACAAGGGGCUAGCCUUUGUACACGAAGAAUAAUACCCUAUAAAACCAUAAAAGCACAUGCUAGAAUGGUCAAAGUGAUAGCGGUGUAAUAUGGACUUGCGUCUGAUGAGCUAGUUGGUGAGAUAAAAGCUCGCCAAGGCAACGAGCAGGAGCCGGCUUGAGAGAGUGUACGGCCAGAUUGGGACUGGGACACGGCCCAGACGCCGACGGGAGGCAGCAGUGGGGAAUUUUGCACAAGGGGGGAAACCCUGAUGCAGCGACGCCGCGAGAUUGAGAAGGCCUUCGGGUUGUAAAAAUCUUUUGUAUAGGACGAAAAUGACAGUACUAGACGAAUAAGGUCCGGCUAAUUACGUG